GUUAUCAAGAGUGGACGAGAGAAUCGGCUUUAUGACUCCACAGCAACCUAUCUAAACAUAAGAAAAGGUGCUAAUACCGACAAGGCAUAUGCUUUGGAUGAUAA
rnacentral:ncRNA from 1 species